rnacentral:rRNA from 1 species
GCGGCGAGUGAGCGGCAAAAGCUCAAAUUUGAAUCUGGCGCCUUCGGUGUCCGAGUUGUAAUUUGAAGAUUGUAACCUUGGGGUUGGCUCUUGUCUAUGUUUCUUGGAACAGGACGUCACAGAGGGUGAGAAUCCCGUGCGAUGAGAUGCCCAAUUCUAUGUAAGGUGCUUUCGAAGAGUCGAGUUGUUUGGGAAUGCAGCUCUAAGUGGGUGGUAAAUUCCAUCUAAAGCUAAAUAUUGGCGAGAGACCGAUAGCGAACAAGUACAGUGAUGGAAAGAUGAAAAGAACUUUGAAAAGAGAGUGAAAAAGUACGUGAAAUUGUUGAAAGGGAAGGGUUUGAGAUCAGACUCGAUAUUUUGUGAGCCUUGCCUUCGUGGCGGGGUGACCCGCAGCUUAUCGGGCCAGCAUCGGUUUGGGCGGUAGGAUAAUGGCGUAGGAAUGUGACUUUACUUCGGUGAAGUGUUAUAGCCUGCGUUGAUGCUGCCUGCCUAGACCGAGGACUGCGAUUUUAUCAAGGAUGCUGGCAUAAUGAUCCCAAACCGCCCGUCUUGAAACCACGGGACCA